rnacentral:lncRNA from 1 species
UGUUUAUUGACCUGCACGCCAUCAAAACCAUAUUCCUGUGUCCCUCGAAGCAUCUCGGAAAGCCGGGUCUCUCCUGGCACACCCGUCGUCGCCAAGCCAGAUCGUCAGGAACAGGAAUGCAGCAACCACAGCAACAACAACACAACAACAACAAGCAGAGGCGUCCGGCCCAUCUAAUCAGUCACAGAUAUCAGCUCACUUGGCAAACACAUGUCACACCCCUUGUAUGCGCGAUGGAUACGAGAUGGAUCGAUGGCGAUAUCUUCAGACUGAUUGCGCAAAUUUAAUAAUCAAUUUAUCCUAGCUAAGUUAUCAGGGUAUGGGUCGCAAGCUGCGCUAGCACAAACAAGCUUAGCAGGACCGCACGUCAGCGCGCACCAUGUUUUAGCGGCUGGAUAACAGCGAUAAGAGGCUAUUAAGAGCAGCCCAAUCCCCGCAAAAUAAAGUGCUCUAGCCUCUAGCUCAGCUAGCCAGGGGCGAUCUCGACGCCACCACUUCCAGAGUACUACUCCGUACAAUACUGCCCUCUCGGUAUGUCCAAUCUAGGGCUCUAACACCGAUUAUUGAUUCCACUUUCUGCCGAGCAUAUGCAACCCUAGCGACGUACCGUUGAUAGUGGGCUCCCGUCUGGAGUUGCCCUGGCGCAUUAUGCGAUCCAUACAGAGUGAUUCUCGGUUAUCGACGCAUGACAAUAAUCUCUUUUCGGAAGGACGUUUUGUGCGGUUACAUCGCGAAUCCGUCGAAGGUGUCCUCGAGCUUCUAACUUUUAUGCAUCAUUUAACUA